GACAGCAGAAGGAGUGCCUCUGAGAGCUCCACAGAGAAACUGGGUGAGUGGUCUAAAGGUGGAAAAUAUGGAAGUUGUGGAGAGAUGGCAGCUGCACCACAGCAAGGACUGUAGCUAAUGGCAGUACACUGAAGCCUGCUUCACUCCCUGAUGAAACAAGAAGCUGAAGAAGGAUUAAAACCUCAAGUAAUACUGCCAUUCCCUAAACAGAUUAAAAAACACACAACAGACCAACCCAGUGCCCUCUCCCCAGACCACAGAGCUGUUAUCCCACUUCCUACAGCACAGGGAUUUCUAAGGAAAUUCCUCAUUUUGCUGUUGGUUGUGACUGAUUGAAUCCAGAGCAUAGGGGCAACAGGAGCAUGAAUACAUUUUUGUUGUAAGAAUGUUUGUAUUCCAGUUCCCCCACCAACACUGCCAGAGCCUAAAGGUGCCUUGCCUGCCCCAGCUGCCUUGGCAAGGCACCCCCUGCCUUCACCUCCACUUUUACCUGAAGCGCACACCCUGAGUGGCUGAACUGGAUGGCUGCUGCUGCCACCUGUUCUGCUGCUGCCCCCUCUAAGAAGAGAGGGAGACUUCCUGCUGCACCAACUUGCACCACUUAAUACCAUACCUGCACUGGAUUACUCCCUAAUUGACUGAUAACUCCUGCAUUCCCCUACAGCUGCCUCACUGCAUCUGAAGCUGCUUUCUUUUCCUGCCUACUGUCCUGCUGCUAAGUGCCCGGCUGGAGGCCUGGGGGGCUCUAAGACUGAGCUUCAACAAAACCCCUCCAUUGCUCCAGCCAUCUUUUUACAUCUGCCUCAUCAGCCUUCCCUGUGUGUUUUGCCCUUGUGUGAUAAGUCCUGUGGUUCAUCCCCCCCUGCCCUGGUGUUUGUGUGGCUGAAUAAGCCAGCUCAAGUCUACCCAGCGUGCAUGUGCAUAUGCAGGUGUAUCCCCUUCCCCAUCUUCCCCAGGCGCAUCCCACCUGAUUUCCUGUGAGGCUGUAGUUCAGUGAGCUUCAGGCCCUUUUCCCCCCUCCAUCCCUCUCCCACAGCCCCAUCUUGCCCCUAUUGGUUUCACUAGCCCCACUGUAUUUUUUUUUUUU